GACGAACGCUGGCGGCGUGCUUAACACAUGCAAGUCGAACGGAAAGGCCCUGCUUUUGUGGGGUGCUCGAGUGGCGAACGGGUGAGUAACACGUGAGUAACCUGCCCUUGACUUUGGGAUAACUUCAGGAAACUGGGGCUAAUACCGGAUAGGAGCUCCUGCUGCAUGGUGGGGGUUGGAAAGUUUCGGCGGUUGGGGAUGGACUCGCGGCUUAUCAGCUUGUUGGUGGGGUAGUGGCUUACCAAGGCUUUGGCGGGUAGCCGGCCUGGGAGGGUGACCGGGCCCCAUUGGGACUGAGAUACGGCCCAGACUCUGACGGGAGGCAGCGGGGGGUAAUAUGGCACAAGGGGCGGACGCCUGAGGCAGCAACGCCGCGUGCGGGAGGACGGCCUUCGGGUGGUAAACCGCUUUCGCCUGUGACGAAGCGUGAGUGACGGUAAUGGUGAAAGAAGCACCGGCUAACUACGU
rnacentral:rRNA from 1 species